rnacentral:rRNA from 1 species
AACUUUCGAUGGUAGGAUAGAGGCCUACCAUGGUGGUAACGGGUAACGGGGUGUUAGGGCACGACACCGGAGAGGGAGCCUGAGAAACGGCUACCACAUCCAAGGAUGGCAGCAGGCGCGCAAAUUACCCAAUCCCGACACGGGGAGGUAGUGACAAUAAAUAACAAUACGGGGUUCUUUAGGAUCUCGUAAUUGGAAUGAGUACAAUUUAAAUCUCUUAACGAGGAACAAUUGGAGGGCAAGUCUGGUGCCAGCAGCCGCGGUAAUUCCAGCUCCAAUAGCGUAUAUUAAAGUUGUUGCAGUUAAAAAGCUCGUAGUUGAAUUUCGGGGUUAGUAGGUUGGUCAUGCCUCUGGUAUGUACUGGUCUCACUGAUUCCUCCUUCCUGAUGAACCUUAAUGCCAUUAAUUUGGUGUUUUGGGGAAUUUGGACUGUUACUUUGAAAAAAUUAGAGUGCUUAAAGCAAGCUAACGCUUGAAUACAUUAGCAUGGAAUAAUGAAAUAGGACGUUCGAUCCUAUUUUGUUGGUUUCUAGGAUUGACGUAAUGAUUAAUAGGGAUAGUUGGGGGCAUUAGUAUUCAAUUGUCAGAGGUGAAAUUCUUGGAUUUAUUGAAGACUAACUACUGCGAAAGCAUUUGCCAAGGAUGUUUUCAUUAAUCAAGAACGAAAGUUAGGGGAUCGAAGACGAUCAGAUACCGUCGUAGUCUUAACCAUAAACUAUGCCGACUAGGGAUCGGAUGAUGUUAAUUUUUUAAUGACUCAUUCGGCGCCUUACGGGAAACCAAAGUGUUUGGGUUC